rnacentral:rRNA from 1 species
ACUAACAAGGAUUCCCCUAGUAACUGCGAGUGAAGCGGGAAAAGCUCAAAUUUAAAAUCUGAGGGUCUUUAUGGCCUUCCGAGUUGUAAUCUAGAGAAGUGCUAUCCGCGCUGGACCGUGUACAAGUCUCCUGGAACGGAGCGUCAUAGAGGGUGAGAAUCCCGUCUUUGACACGGACUCCCAGGGCUUAUGUGAUGCGCUCUCAAAGAGUCGAGUUGUUUGGGAAUGCAGCUCUAAAUGGGUGGUAAAUUCCAUCUAAAGCUAAAUAUUGGCGAGAGACCGAUAGCGAACAAGUACCGUGAGGGAAAGAUGAAAAGAACUUUGGAAAGAGAGUUAAACAGUACGUGAAAUUGUUGAAAGGGAAACGCUUGAAGUCAGUCGCAUUGGCCAGGGAUCAACCUUGCUUUUGCUUGGUGUAUUUUCUGGUUAAUGGGUCAGCAUCAAUUUUGAUCGGUGGAAAAAGGUUGAGGGAAUGUGGCAUCUUCGGAUGUGUUAUAGCCCUUGGUUGCAUACAUCGGUUGGGAUUGAGGAACUCAGCACGCCGCAAGGCCGGGUUUUUAACCACGUACGUGCUUAGGAUGCUGGCAUAAUGGCUUUAAUCGACCCGUCUUGAAACACGGACCAAGGAGUCUAACAUGCACGCGAGUGUUUGGGUGGAAAACCCGAGCGCGUAAUGAAAGUGAAAAUUGAGAUCCCUGUCGUAGGGAGCAUCGAUGCCCGGACCAGACCUUUUGUGACGGAUCCGCGGUUGAGCGUGUAUGCUGGGACCCGAAAGAUGGUGAACUAUGCCUGAAUAGGGUGAAGCCAGAGGAAACUCUGGUGGAGGCUCGUAGCGAUUCUGACGUGCAAAUCGAUCGUCAAAUUUGGGUAUAGGGGCGAAAG